rnacentral:lncRNA from 1 species
CCUCCAGUUACUACUCUGAGAGCUGUACAGGUUUAGUCUGUCUCCAGUCAGAUCGCAUAGUGUCAGCAUGUCUGACUGCAGAAAGCUGCAUACCCAUCCUUGAUCCAGGUCAGUUCCUGCGCCCCAUGUCAUUAGGAGCUAUCUGAUCCUUCCAGGUGACCAAGAGCAAAGCGUCCAUUCCUGUCCUGUGGCCUCUGGUUCAUGUAGGGGCUUCCUAUGUCACCCGGUCACCAGCACUGAGGGCAAUUUCUGGGCUGCCCCUCAGCCCUACAGUGUGUUCUGCCAGAUUCUGGAACUAGAACGAAAGUUACAGGACCUACAGAUACAAGAAAAGGGAUUGUGCAGAAUAACAAAUGAUAACAUUCCAGUGUGUGUUAGUGCUCCAGCAGCUUCAAGAAGUGAAUGAAGUGAUUCUCCAAGAAAGCACAAGGUCUCAUGAAGAAAAGUGUUCUCAAGGCCAAUCAGCUCAGACUGAAUAAGGUUAUAUUUCCAGAGAACCUGUUGCAACACGGCGUACAGAGACCGCUGUCACUUUGGACUCACCAGGUAAGUUACCAACCAAAGGAGAUGGGUAAUAGAUUUCCAGCCAUUAGCAUCAUAUCUGUGUAUUUAAUAAGCACCUAUCUGUGUGAUAUUCUAUGAUACAUGAGUCAAAUUAAAGCAACAACACUGAAAAGAAACAUUGCCAGGUUACCUCUGGCUCUUGGAAUUGGGGUAAUUUUUUCUGCUAUUUCAGUUC